CCUACGGGAUGCAGCAGUGAGGAAUAUUGGUCAAUGGACGAGAGUCUGAACCAGCCAAGUAGCGUGAAGGAUGACUGCCCUAUGGGUUGUAAACUUCUUUUAUAAAGGAAUAAAACGAGGCACGUGUGCCUUUUUGCAUGUACUUUAUGAAUAAGGAUCGGCUAACUCCGUGCCAGCAGCCGCGGUAAUACGGAUGAUCCGAGCGUUAUCCGGCUUUAUUGGGGUUAAAGGGAGCGUAGAUGAGUUGUUAAGUAAGUUGUGAAAGUUUGCGGCGCAACCGUAAAAUUGCAAUUGAUACUGGCAGUCGUGAGUACAGUUGAGGUAGGCGGAAUUCGUGGUGUAGCGGUGAAAUGCUUAGAUAUCACGAAGAACCCCGAUUGCGAAGGCAGCUUACUAAACUGUGACUGACAUUGAUGCUCGAAAGUGUGGGUAUCAAACAGGAUUAGAUACCCGAGUAGUC
rnacentral:rRNA from 1 species